rnacentral:rRNA from 3 species
GUAGGUGAACCUGCGGAAGGAUCAUUGUCGA